GCAUUGGUGGUUCAGUGGUAGAAUCCUCGCCAGCCUCGCGGGGGGCCCGGGUUCGAUUCCCGGCCAAUGCA
rfam:Ciona savignyi cont_32171, whole genome shotgun sequence.